GUCUCGCCCGCACGGAAGGCCAAGGAGCCGCUGCACGAGCGCUACCGGCUGGAGUCGCUGCUGGGCAGCGGCGGCUUCGGCCGCGUCUACGCGGGGACCCGCCUGGCGGACGGAGCCCCGGUGGCCAUCAAAGCCGUGUCCCGGGAUGGCAUCCGGCGCUGGGGCGAGCUGCCUGACGGCACCCGGGCACCCCUGGAGAUCGUG